rfam:Hydrogenophilaceae bacterium CG1_02_62_390 cg_0.2_sub10_scaffold_589_c, whole genome shotgun sequence.
GUAUUUCCGGGGCAUCCGCCCCGGCCUCAUUGAAGC